rnacentral:rRNA from 1 species
GUGGCAGACGGGUGAGUAACGCGUGGGAACGUACCUUUCACUACGGAAUAGCUCUGGGAAACUGGUGGUAAUACCGUAUACGCCCUCAGGGGGAAAGAUUUAUCGGUGAAAGAUCGGCCCGCGUUGGAUUAGCUAGUUGGUGAGGUAAUGGCUCACAAAGGCGACGAUCCAUAGCUGGUCUGAGAGGAUGAUCAGCCACACUGGGACUGAGACACGGCCCAGACUCCUACGGGAGGCAGCAGUGGGGAAUCUUGCACAAUGGGCGAAAGCCUGAUGCAGCCAUGCCGCGUGAAUGAUGAAGGCCUUAGGGUUGUAAAAUUCUUUCGUCAGGGAUGAUAAUGACCGUACCUGAAGAAGAAGCCCCGGCUAACUUCGUGCCAGCAGCCGCGGUAAUACGAAGGGGGCUAGCGUUGUUCGGAAUUACUGGGCGUAAAGCGCACGUAGGCGGACUUUUAAGUCAGGUGUGAAAUCCCGGGGCUCAACCUCGGAACUGCAUUUGAAACUGGAAGUCUGGAGAUCAGGAGAGGUUAGCGGAAUACCGAGUGUAGAGGUGAAAUUCGUAGAUAUUCGGUGGAACACCAGUGGCGAAGGCGGCUAACUGGACUGAUACUGACGCUGAGGUGCGAAAGUGUGGGGAGCAAACAGGAUUAGAUACCCUGGUAGUCCAC